AUGCUUUACACAUGCAAGUCGAACGGCAGCACGGGAGCUUGCUCCUGGUGGCGAGUGGCGAACGGGUGAGUAAUGCGUCGGAACGUACCGAGUAAUGGGGGAUAACGCACCGAAAGGUGUGCUAAUACCGCAUACGCCCUGAGGGGGAAAGUGGGGGAUCGCAAGACCUCACGUUAUUCGAGCGGCCGACGUCUGAUUAGCUAGUUGGUGGGGUAAUGGCUCACCAAGGCGACGAUCAGUAGCGGGUCUGAGAGGAUGAUCCGCCACACUGGGACUGAGACACGGCCCAGACUCCUACGGGAGGCAGCAGUGGGGAAUUUUGGACAAUGGGGGCAACCCUGAUCCAGCCAUUCCGCGUGAGUGAAGAAGGCCUUCGGGUUGUAAAGCUCUUUCAGCUGGAACGAAACGGUACGCUCUAACAUAGUGUGCUACUGACGGUACCAGCAGAAGAAGCACCGGCUAACUACGUGCCAGCAGCCGCGGUAAUACGUAGGGUGCGAGCGUUAAUCGGAAUUACUGGGCGUAAAGCGUGCGCAGGCGGAUUGUUAAGCAAGACGUGAAAUCCCCGGGCUUAACCUGGGAAUGGCGUUUUGAACUGGCAGUCUAGAGUGUGUCAGAGGGGGGUGGAAUUCCACGUGUAGCAGUGAAAUGCGUAGAGAUGUGGAGGAACACCGAUGGCGAAGGCAGCCCCCUGGGAUAACACUGACGCUCAUGUACGAAAGCGUGGGUAGCAAACAGGAUUAGAUACCCUGGUAGUCCACGCCCUAAACGAUGUCAACUGGUUGUUGGGGGAGUGAAAUCCCUUAGUAACGAAGCUAACGCGUGAAGUUGACCGCCUGGGGAGUACGGUCGCAAGAUUAAAACUCAAAUGAAUUGACGG
rnacentral:rRNA from 1 species